rnacentral:rRNA from 1 species
CCUACGGGAGGCUGCAGUGAGGAAUAUUGGUCAAUGGCCGGAAGGCUGAACCAGCCAUGCCGCGUGAAGGUCAGUGCCCUAUGGGCGUUAAACUUCUUUUGUGCGGGAGCAACGGGCGUCACGUGUGGCGCCACUGAGAGUACCCGGAGAAAAAGCAUCGGCUAACUCCGUGCCAGCAGCCGCGGUAAUACGGAGGAUGCGAGCGUUAUCCGGAUUUAUUGGGUUUAAAGGGUGCGUAGGCGGAUCGUUAAGUCAGUGGUCAAAUUGAGGGGCUCAACCCCUUCCCGCCAUUGAAACUGGCGUUCUUGAGUGGAAGAGAAGUAUGCGGAAUGCGUGGUGUAGCGGUGAAAUGCAUAGAUAUCACGCAGAACCCCGAUUGCGAAGGCAGCAUGCCGGCUUCCGACUGACGCUGAAGCACGAAAGCGUGGGGAUCGAACAGGAUUAGAUACCCCGGUAGUC